rnacentral:rRNA from 1 species
ACGAACGCUGGCGGCGUGCCUAAUACAUGCAAGUCGAGCGAACCGAUGAAGAGCUUGCUCUCAAAGGUGAGCGGCGGACGGGUGAGUAACACGUGGGCAACCUGCCUGCAAGGAUCGGGAUAACUCCGGGAAACCGGGGCUAAUACCGGAUGAUGCAUUUCGCUGCAUGGCGGAAUGCUAAAAGGCGGCUUCGGCUGUCACUUGCAGAUGGGCCCGCGGCGCAUUAGCUAGUUGGGGAGGUAACGGCUCCCCAAGGCGACGAUGCGUAGCCGACCUGAGAGGGUGAUCGGCCACACUGGGACUGAGACACGGCCCAGACUCCUACGGGAGGCAGCAGUAGGGAAUUUUCCGCAAUGGGCGCAAGCCUGACGGAGCAACGCCCGCGUGAGUGAGGACGGCUUUCGGGUUGUAAAACUCUGUUCUUCGGGAAGAACGGCGGUCGGGUGAAUAGCCCGAUUGCGUGACGGUACCGAAGGAGAAAGCCCCGGCUAACUACGUGCCAGCCGCUGC